rnacentral:rRNA from 1 species
CCUACGGGUGGCAGCAGUGGGGGAUAUUGCACAAUGGGGGGAACCCUGAUGCAGCGACGCCGCGUGGGUGAAGGAGCGUUUCGGCGCGUAAAGCCCUAUCGGCAGGGAAGAAGGAGGACGGUACCUGACUAAGAAGCCCCGGCUAACUACGUGCCAGCAGCCGCGGUAAUACGUAGGGAGCGAGCGUUGUCCGGAAUUACUGGGCGUAAAGGGCGCGUAGGCGGGAACGUAAGUUAGAUGUGAAAACUCCGGGCUUAACCUGGGGACUGCAUUUAAAACUGGGUUUCUUGAGGGCAGGAGAGGAAAGUGGAAUUCCUAGUGUAGCGGUGAAAUGCGUAGAUAUUAGGAGGAACACCAGUGGCGAAGGCGACUUUCUGGACUGUACCUGACGCUGAGGCGCGAAAGCAUGGGGAGCGAACAGGAUUAGAUACCCGAGUAGUC